rnacentral:lncRNA from 1 species
ACAACUUCAAUGAAGAAAGCAUGCCGAUCUGAACAAUAGAAAAUGGAGUUUCGAAGCUCACAACAAAUCUGACGGGUUGACAGAAAAAUAAUAACCAGUCAUUCAUCAUACCUGGAUUUCUGGAGUUAUACUGCUCCGAGGGAUCUCAAAUUUGGAUAUAUUGUAAUUCACGAGCUGAGGAACAACUUCAAUGAAGAAAGCAUACCGAUCUGAACAAGAGAAAAUGGAGUUUCGAAGCUCACAACAAAUCUGACGGGUUGACAGAAAAAUAAUAACCAGUCAUUCAUCAUACCUGGAUUUCUGGAGUUAUACUGCUCCGAGGGAUCUCAAAUUUGGAUAUGUUGUAGUUCACAAGCUGAGGAACAACUUCAAUGAAGAAAGCAUGCUGAUCUGAGCAAGAGAAAAUAGAGUUUCAAAGCUCACAACAAAUCUGACGGGUUGACAGACAAAUGAUAAACAGUCACUCAUCAUACCUGGAUUUCUAGAGUUAUACUGCUCCGAGGGACCUCAAAUUUGGAUAUGUUGUAGUUCACAAGUUAAGGAACAACUUCGAUGAAGAACGUAUGUUGAUCUGAACAAGGGAAAAUGGAGUUUCGAAGCUCACAACAAGUCUGACGGAUUAACAGAACAUUGAUGAACAGUUACUCAUCAUAC